rnacentral:lncRNA from 1 species
CAUUUUUCAAGUUUUAUACAUUUAAUAAUGUUUUAAGUAUUUAUUUAAAUACCUUAAAUAAAAAGGCAUUAAAUAAAUACCUAAAUUUUUAUUAUUUUUCCUAGGGUUUAAGAAUUUUAAUGCAUAAAGGAAAAUAAAACAAUCCUAAUAAAAUUGGUUUCACUAAUUUUGGGCACUUCUAGAAAUUUCUGUGAUUUAAAUGGUGAAAACCGCAUUUAAUCUAUUUAUCUAAUAAAAGAAAACCUAAGGUUUAUUUAUAAACCCCCGGCCCAAACUUUU